rnacentral:rRNA from 1 species
UGUAAGCGUAUACCAAAGUUGUUGCAGUUAAAACGCUCGUAGUCGGAACUUGGCCGUUCCGGAUGUGUGCACGUCGUGUGCGCGCUUUGCAGGGACGGCUUUUGUGGUCUUGCGUAGGAUGAGGCACUUUUAUUAGUGAACGUCCUCACGCAACCACUCUUUACUGUGAGAAAAUCAGAGUGCUCAAAGCAGGCAUUUGCCGUGAAUGUAUUAGCAUGGAAUAAUAGAAUAGGACUCGGUUCUAUUUUGUUGGUUUGUUGGGACUGAGUAAUGAUUAAGAGGGACAAUUGGGGGCAUCCGUAUUUCGUUGUCAGAGGUGAAAUUCUUGGAUUUACGAAAGGCGAACAACUGCGAAAGCACUUGCCAAGAGUGUUUUCAUUAA